CACGUGGGGAACCUGCCCCAUAGUCUGGGAUACCACUUGGAAACAGGUGCUAAUACCGGAUAAGAAAGCAGAUCGCAUGAUCAGCUUUUAAAAGGCGGCGUAAGCUGUCGCUAUGGGAUGGCCCCGCGGUGCAUUAGUUAGUUGGUAAGGUAAAGGCUUACCAAGGCGAUGAUGCAUAGCCGAGUUGAGAGACUGAUCGGCCACAUUGGGACUGAGACACGGCCCAAACUCCUACGGGAGGCAGCAGCA
rnacentral:rRNA from 1 species